rfam:Felis catus isolate Cinnamon breed Abyssinian chromosome B1, whole genome shotgun sequence.
GCCUGGGUGGCUCAGUCGGUUGAGCAACUGACUUCGGCUCAGGUCAUGAUCUCAAGGUCUGUGGGUUCAAGCCCCACUUCGAGCU